AUUGAACGCUGGCGGCAGGCCUAACACAUGCAAGUCGAACGAGUGGCGGACGGGUGAGUAAUGUCUGGGAAACUGCACGAUGGGGGGGGGUAACUACUGGAAACGGUAGCUAAUACCGCAUACCAUCGGGUGUGCCCAGAUGGUAUUAGAUAGUAGGUGGGGUAACGGCUCACCUAGGCGACGAUCACUAGCUGGUCUGAGAGGAUGACCAGCCACACUGGAACUGAGACACGGCCCAGACUCCUACGGGAGGCAGCAGUGGGGAAUAUUGCACAAUGGGCGCAAGCCUGAUGCAGCCAUGCCGCGUGUAUGAAGAAGGCCUUCGGGUUGUAAAGUACUUUCAGCGAGGAGGCGUUACUCAAAGAAGAAGCACCGGCUAACUCCGUGCCAGCAGCCGCGGUAAUAC
rnacentral:rRNA from 1 species